UGACAACAGUAACCUAAAGUUCAGUGUUCCC
rnacentral:piRNA from 1 species